rnacentral:rRNA from 1 species
AUCGUAACUCCUACGGGAGGCAGCAGUGGGGAAUUUUGGACAAUGGGGGCAACCCUGAUCCAGCAAUGCCGCGUGCGUGAAGAAGGCCUUCGGGUUGUAAAGCUCUUUUGUCAGGGAAGAAACGGUAGUAGCUAAUAUCUAUUACUAAUGACGGUACCUGCAGAAUAAGCACCGGCUAACUACGUGCCAGCGGCCGCGGUAAUACGUAGGGUGCAAGCGUUAAUCGGAAUUACUGGGCGUAAAGCGUGCGCAGGCGGUUGUGUAAGUCAGAUGUGAAAUCCCCGGGCUCAACCUGGGAAUUGCAUUUGAGACUGAACGGCUAGAGGGUGUCAGAGGGGGGUAGAAUUCCACGUGUAGCAGUGAAAUGCGUGGAUAUGGGGAGGAACACCGAUGGCGAAGGCGGCCCCCUGGGAUAACACUGACGCUCAUGCACGAAAGCGUGGGGAGCAAACAGGAUUAGAUACCCUUGUAGUCCUAGAGC